AUGUGUCCAACGCAGUUGGCGCAAGACAGAGACAAAGCAUUGGAAGAACAGAACGGCCUUCAAAACCAAUUGGAUGAAUUCAGUAAAAAAAGAAAUGACUUUAUGGCAAUUAUCAAACAAUUAGACCCAAAUUUUAUCGAAUCUGCUGAUGAGGUGAUAUCCACACCAAAGUCUCCGAAUCAGCAAAACGCAUCUGCAUUAUAUGAUUCUGCUGCAUCAGGGAAGAAACCAAAAGAACAAGGAAAAACCCCAUCAUCCAAAGCAAAAUCAGAAAUAACUGCUCACUCUGGAGAUUUAGUCAACGAAUCCAAGCAGUCAAAACUGCCUGAUCUGAGCAUCGGUGUUGUUGCGCCUGAUCAUGGAAAAUUUGUUGAUUUGUCUCAUUCUACAGUAGGCAAUGGUGAGCAAUUUUUGGACCCACGCUCCAGAUCCAAGAGAUCCAAGAGUCCAAUCUGGAUUCCCAACGAAUCUGCAUCUUACUCAGAAGUUUUACGGUCAAAUCCUAGCUCAAGGGAGCCUAGUCGUGAUCGAACUGCCUCAAAAUCGGUCAAUAACAUCGCUUCCUCAAAGCAACCGUCAUCCACCGAAGAAAAUCGUAGUUUGCUCUCUCAGUUCAAUCAAUACGAUGAUAAUUUACUCUCUUUUAAAGUACCCUUUGCUUCAUCUAAAUUAUUUGAUGUUCCUCAACAACCUGAUCCUCUUUCUUCUACUGAAGCACUCAUUAGAUCAGAAACCCAAGAUAAAUCUGGUUUUCUCAGCCAUGCGUUUUUUCAACCUUUGGAGCCUUUACCUUCACUUACUAAUAUUCAACCUAAUUUUGAAGUUCAUCCUCAGGCCCACAUAGUUUCUGAAAAGUCAAAACAAGAGAAUCAACAAAGUGAUCCUAUUAAAAACUCUGAAUCCUCUCCUAAUUCGAUUAUAUUCAACAGUAAUGCAAGGAAUAUUUCAAAAGAAUUACUGGCCAAUUCUUCAAGUUUCAGCGAGAAGCCGCAUGACAAGGAGCUGGAAAAUGUUUCUAAAAAAUUGAAUGUCGAUGCUUUGAAUUCAGUCGCGGUAGCAAUGAAAGAAAAUAUUGCAGUCAGCAAAACACAAGGGAAAAAACUUGCAAACAAAGAGUCUUCGUCAAAAAAGAAUCAGAAAGUAGAAGCUGCUAAAAAUUUGGAUUCAGCUACCAAUUCUUCAAACUUCGAGACAAGUAACAUCGAAGCCCCUGCAAAUAAAAAACAGAAGAAAAAAAAUGCACCAGUAGAAAUUUCUUCUGCUGACAAGGCUUCUAAGUCCCCCGUAAUCAAAGAAAGCAAUAUUAACAGUGUGGAUAGUCAGUCAGACAAACAAGUCAAAUCUCCUUCAAAAGCUACUAAGAAAGAUUUGGUGGUUGAACCUCCUUGCAAAACCUUGAAUGAACUGUUGCCUGGCAACCAGAUUCCACAGGAAGGUGCUGAAAUAUUGAAUGGAAAAAAGAAUAAAACCCAGAAAGAGAACCAACAGGACAACUCAGUAGGAAUGCUAGCAAUAAAAUUUCUAAAGACACUCCUAAAAAUAAAUCUUCUGAACAGAAUCUAA
rnacentral:lncRNA from 1 species